rnacentral:rRNA from 1 species
GGCAUGCUUAACACAUGCAAGUCGAACGGUAACAUGGAGAGCUUGCUCUCUGAUGACGAGUGGCGGACGGGUGAGUAAGGCGUAGGAAUCUGCCCAACAGUGGGGAAUAACCUGGGGAAACCCAGGCUAAUACCGCAUACGCUCUGUACUUAGGUAGAGAGGAAAGCGGGGGCCCUUUUCGAAGGCCUCGCGCUGAUGGAUGAGCCUACGUCCGAUUAGCUAGUUGGUAGGGUAAGAGCCUACCAAGGCGACGAUCGGUGCUGGUCUUAGCGGAUGAUCAGCCACACUGGGACUGAGACACGGCCCAGACUCCUACGGGAGGCAGCAGUGGGGAAUAUUGGACAAUGGGGGCAACCCUGAUCCAGCAAUGCCGCGUGUGUGAAGAAGGCCUGCGGGUUGUAAAGCACUUUCAGUGGUGAGGAAAGCUCACGCGUUAAUAGCGCGGGAGGGUGACGUUAGCCACAGAAGCAGCACCGGCUAACUCCGUG